rnacentral:rRNA from 1 species
GAUGAACGCUGGCGGCGUGCCUAAUACAUGCAAGUCGAGCGAACAGACGAGGAGCUUGCUCCUCUGACGUUAGCGGCGGACGGGUGAGUAACACGUGGAUAACCUACCUAUAAGACUGGGAUAACUUCGGGAAACCGGAGCUAAUACCGGAUAAUAUAUUGAACCUCAUGGUUCAAUAGUGAAAGACGGUUUUGCUGUCACUUAUAGAUGGAUCCGCGCCGCAUUAGCUAGUUGGUAAGGUAACGGCUUACCAAGGCAACGAUGCGUAGCCGACCUGAGAGGGUGAUCGGCCACACUGGAACUGAGACACGGUCCAGACUCCUACGGGAGGCAGCAGUAGGGAAUCUUCCGCAAUGGGCGAAAGCCUGACGGAGCAACGCCGCGUGAGUGAUGAAGGUCUUCGGAUCGUAAAACUCUGUUAUUAGGGAAGAACAAAUGUGUAAGUAACUAUGCACGUCUUGACGGUACCUAAUCAGAAAGCCACGGCUAACUACGUG